GUCUAUGGCCAUACCAGGCUGAACCCAUCUGAUGUCGGACUGAGACCUAGUUAGUAUUUGGAUGGGAGACCACCCAGGUAAUAGCAAGUGCUGUGAGCU
rnacentral:rRNA from 1 species